CGACACGCCGUCACACCAUGGGAGUUGAUUGCACCAGAAGCAGGUAGCCUAACCGCAAGGGGGCGCCUACCACGGUGUAGUUCAAUGACGUGGGGUG
rnacentral:rRNA from 1 species